UAUGGCUCAGUGGUAGAGCACAUGCUUAGCAUGCACAAGGUCCUGGGUUCAAUCCCCAGUA
rnacentral:tRNA from 1 species